rnacentral:rRNA from 1 species
GGGCUCACACAAGCGGUGGAGGAUGUGGCUUAAUUCGAGGCUACGCGAAGAACCUUAUCCUAGUCUUGACAUGUAUGGAUUAACCCUGUGAAAGCAGGGCCACGCCUUCGGGUGGAACAUACACAGGUGCUGCAUGGCUGUCGUCAGCUCGUGUCGUGAGAUGUCGCGUUAAGUCGCUUAACGAGCGAAACCCUUGUCUCUAGUUGCCAGCGCGUAAUGGCGGGGACUCUAGAGAGACCGCCGGCGUUAAGCCGGAGGAAGGUGGGGAUGACGUCAAGUCCUCAUGGCCCUUAUGACUAGGGCUGCACACGUCCUACAAUGGAACGCACAAAGGGAUGCGAAACCGCGACGGUCAAGCAAA